GCCUCCUUAGCUCAGUUGGCUAGAGCAUCCGCCUUGUAAGCGGAAGGUCGCCGGUUCAAGCCCAGCAGGAGGCU
rnacentral:tRNA from 1 species